UCGAAGCAAACGCGCAGAACCUUACCAGCUCUUGACAUGCCCUGCUACCCAGUGGAGACCCCUGGGUUCCCUUCGGGGACAGGGACACAGGUGUUGCAUGGCUGUCGUCAGCUCGUGUCGUGAGAUGUUGGGUUAAGUCCCGCAACGAGCGCAACCCUCGCCUCUAGUUGCCAGCAUUCAGUUGGGCACUCUAGAGGGACUGCCGGUGAUAAGCCGAGAGGAAGGUGGGGAUGACGUCAAGUCCUCAUGGCCCUUACGGGCUGGGCUACACACGUGCUACAAUGGCAGUGACAAUGGGUGAAUCCCUAAAAACUGUCCCAGUUCGGAUUGUUCUCUGCAACUCGAGAGCAUGAAGUGGGAAUCGCUAGUAAUCGUGGAACAGCAUGCCACGGUGAAUACGUUCCCAGGC
rnacentral:rRNA from 1 species